GUCCGUGUGGUGGUACUGGAAGUACGCAACAGUCUUAAACACUGUCAGGCGAAAGCCUUCUGGGUUCGAAUCCCAGUACGGAUA
rnacentral:tRNA from 1 species